AAGUCGUAACAAGGUUUCCGUAGGUGAACCUGCGGAAGGAUCAUUAACACGUUUUUACAACGUAUCAACCAACUGUGCUCCUUAUCAUCUCCCUCUCUGCUCUGCUCUGUUUGGAGCAUCAGAAAGGCUAAUUGAAGUCUCAGUUUGAAGUCGAUUGACUCUUCUCUUCGGAGAGAGUGAGUUUGAUUUUCUCUGAGUGCUUCUCCAUUGUCACUUUUUUCACCCCUUGAUAUUACUACUUAGUUGACAUUUUUCAUGGAAUCGUGAGUGAAAUAAAUCACGUUUCUCAUUUACUAUUUGUGAAUGUAAAAUACAACUCUUAGCAAUGGAUAUCUUGGUUCUC
rnacentral:misc_RNA from 1 species